rnacentral:rRNA from 1 species
GAUGAACGCUGGCGGCGUGCCUAAUACAUGCAAGUCGAGCGAACGGACGAGAAGCUUGCUUCUCUGAUGUUAGCGGCGGACGGGUGAGUAACACGUGGAUAACCUACCUAUAAGACUGGGAUAACUUCGGGAAACCGGAGCUAAUACCGGAUAAUAUUUUGAACCGCAUGGUUCAAAAGUGAAAGACGGUCUUGCUGUCACUUAUAGAUGGAUCCGCGCUGCAUUAGCUAGUUGGUAAGGUAACGGCUUACCAAGGCAACGAUGCAUAGCCGACCUGAGGGGGUGAUCGGCCACACUGGAACUGAGACACGGUCCAGACUCCUACGGGAGGCAGCAGUAGGGAAUCUUCCGCAAUGGGCGAAGGCCUGACGGAGCAACGCCGCGUGAGUGAUGAAGGUCUUCGGAUCGUAAAACUCUGUUAUUAGGGAAGAACAUAUGUGUAAGUAACUGUGCACAUCUUGACGGUACCUAAUCAGAAAGCCACGGCUAACUACGUG